UCCCGCGGAACCACGGGUCGUGGGGGCUCGCAGGCCGGGCGCCCUGGCAGACUCUGGGCGCCCCGGGCCGGACCCGCGCCCUGCCUGCUGGGGCCACCCCUCGGCCGGGGCAGGCUCCCAGACCCCAGCACCCGCUUCCUCCCCGGGGCGGAGCCCGGCGGCCGCAAGCCAAGCGCCGUAAAAUUUAAAGAGGCUGUCUCUCAAAGGGAAGGAGUCCCUACCCAGGCAUAUGGCAGCUUGAUGCAAACAUGCAUGGUGCCUUGAAAGGUGGGAACCAAAAAUGGAAGAAGACGGGGUCUACACCUUGCCGCUUGAAGGAGAGAUGCCCACUGGUCAGGAACACCCAUUUGGGAUUUAUAGAAGCCAGAAAUAAACUUUUAUCGUG